rnacentral:lncRNA from 1 species
CUUAGGUUGCCCAGGCUGGUCUUGAACUCCUGGCCUCAACGAUCUUCCCACUUCAGCCUCCUGCAUUGCUGGGAUUAUAGGUGUGAGCCACCAUGCCUGGCUUACACAGUAUAAAGGGAAUGCAUUGGCCCACACAGUGGAAAAAAAUAUCUAGUAGGAAUAGGAAGGACUUCAGGUGAGGUUUGAUCCAGCAGCUCAAAUGUUGUCACCACAGGCCUGGAUUCCUCUGGCCUUUCUCAAGGUCUCUUUCAUUUUCAUGCUCCACAAGAUGGCUUCUGCCAGGCUGACCUCCCUCCCCUGACCCCAGCAGCUCUGGACACCCCUCUCAGUGCCAUUUAUAUUGUUGCAUCAAUAGGCUCAUUUCUAUAUACUGCAAGGUUCAGAGAAGACAGAGUAUCUCUCUCAAGAGUUCUAACAUAAGUCUGGGGGUCCUGGCUCUCAUAGGCUUGAACAGGGCCACAUGUCCAUUCCUGAGCCAAUAUUUGUGACCAAGGGGAUGUGGUCAAUCUCAUCCAAACCUCACUUGAAGUGAGGGUGGGAGGAGGAGUGCUCUGCAAGGAGACUGUAGGUCUGGACCACCAAAAAGGUAGAUGGGUUGGUGGGAAAAGCCAGAUGCCUACUAUGGUAGUGGGCGGGGGGAGGGCACACUGGCAAGGUACAGCAAGAGGCAGGGGCAGUGCUGGACAGGCAGGGGCUCCUCCCUAGCACGACUGGAGAAAGGACUCCUGUGAAGCGGUCACCUCCAUGAGUCCCUCCUGUCCUGGCUUCCAACCACUCUGAAGUGGGGCUUUUGUCCACAGACCUGGCCUCUGCUGCCUACCCUCUUCUGUCCCCACCUGAUGGGGCCGCUUUCCUUCUGAAGCGGCUGCAUUUUGGGUUUCUCUCCACAGGAAGAGUUGGGGCUCACAGGCACACCCUCUCCCUAACUCUUCUCCCCCGGUUCAACCUGGAUCCAGGGAUCCACACUCUGCUCCGAGAGGCCAGCACGCAGCCACUGGAAAAUGAGCCAGUGGGAGAGGGCAGCUCCAUGUUUAUUGAUCAGCAGACUAUGUCUUUUUGUUUGAAACUUCUAAAUAAGAUUACAAAAAGAAAAAAAAUAGAAGCAUUGCGUAUUAACUGCAUUGGUUAACCAACAUUGGAACCCAAUACUCUUGUAUUAGGCCCGCAUUUACCUGAGUAAACUCAGUGGUUUUCUGUCCUAAGCAUGCUUGCCUGCUACAUCCCAUGGAGAAAAUAAACAGUGAAACACUUUCCUCAUCUUCAAGGCAAUUGUCUCAGGCAUCCUCCAGGCAUCAUGAAGGAGGGUGAGCGAGGGUGCGAGGUGGAAAGGUCCAGGCCGCGGCUGUGACUCCCGCGGGUGAACCACAGCUCCACAGCCCCAAAUCCAAAGAUGCUCUUGCUGCAGCACGACAAGUGUUCAAAAGAGAACCAGGCCCAGCCCGGAGAAAGGAAAGCCAAAAGCCAACUGAAUGAAUGACCCUCCCCCAGAAGAGCAACCCUGCCCCCAGGCCAUCCAAGUGCGAACAUUACCAGGUGCCAGCAGGGAAAGGACUCCGCUGCCUGACGCCUCUCCCACCUGAGAGCGCAGAGGUAGGGAGAUCACAGUGCCUGAGAGGUUUUCCUCCACGGAGAAAUCAGAGACCUCAACCUGCUGCCCUCUAAAGCAGCUUUCUGUAUCCAGACAAAACUUACAUAUGUACACGUUGUUUUAAAACGACAUACUCAUGUGACACACAUGUAUAUAAAUUCAUGUUUAUAUAUGACAAUUGAGGAGAGUUAAAGAACAAGAUAAUUCUGGAUGGAAAAAUCAGUUUGCCUGGGCAUCUGUAAACCUUUGGGCAAGUGAAUUCCCUCUUCUCUCUCAGUUCACCCUUUGGUGACCUCCACCGUGGCUGCAGACUUCAGGUGGUCCUCACGCAUUCACAGAACUGUCUGCUUAGGUUACAGCACUUUGGGAGGCCGAGGUGGGUAGAUCACGAGGUCAGGAGAUCGAGACCAUAUUGACCAACAUGGUAAAACCCCAUCUCUACUAAAAUACAAAAAUUAGCCGGGCGUGGUGGCGGGUGCCUGUAGUCCCAGCUACUUGGGAGGCUGAGGCAGGGGAAUCACUUGAACCUGGGAGGCGGAGGUUGCAGUGAACUGAGAUUGCGCCACUGCACUCCAGCCUGGGUGACAGAGACUUC